UCAUUCCAGGCAGGUACUCUAGUCCCACCGCCGGCCUCCGUGCUCCGGCCACCGACGCGUCCCCAUCGGCGCCGUCGCCUGCCUCCAACUCCAAGCCCAAGCCGCGCCGACCGACCUCUCGGCGGUGCUCGUUCUCCCCGCUGCUCUACGUUGAUCGAGGGUAGCCACACCACCUCCAACUCCCCCGACUAACACUGCUCACCGUGCCUCAGGGGCAGGACGAGGAUUCAGAGGAGGAUGGCGAGCUGGGCCAUAAAGACAAGUUCCCGCACAGCACCUGUUCGAUGAAAUGCCCAGGAAGGAGCCACCCAUCGAUGUUGAAAAGUCACCAUCUAAAACUAAAAGAGCUUGAUGCUUUGGAAGCUGAUAUGGACUUCGAAUCAACUCAGUCCCAUCGUACCUCCAACCACACAAGGCGACUGAUCUUUAUUCUGAGCUUAACUAUCCUGCUGCACCAAGUGGUCAUGCAGCAGUCCCGGCAAACCAGCAGCAGGAGGAUGAACUGGGACUAUCUACAGUGCCACACGCAUCAAUUUGUACCUGAAAAGUAACAAAAAAACUAUGUUAUAGGUUUGAUCUCGUUGUAAAUGGUCGGCACUUUGUUUAUGCAUGGACAAAUUCAUUGUAUCUUGCAUCAUAUACCGCUGCAAUUCAUUGAACGAUGAAAUGUCUCUUUCCCAUUGUGUUGGAAUAAU